rnacentral:rRNA from 1 species
AUUGAACGCUGGCGGCAUGCCUUACACAUGCCAGUCGAACGGCAGCACGGGUGCUUGCACCUGGUGGCGAGUGGCGAACGGGUGAGUAAUACAUCGGAACAUGUCCUGUAGUGGGGGAUAGCCCGUCGAAAGCCGGAUUAAUACCGCAGACGAUCUACUGAUGAAAGCGGGGGACCUUCGGGCCUCGCGCUAUAGGGUUGGCCGAUGGCUGAUUAGCUAGUUGGUGGGGUAAAGGCCUACCAAGGCGACGAUCAGUAGCUGGUCUGAGAGGACGACCAGCCACACUGGGACUGAGACACGGCCCAGACUCCUACGGGAGGCAGCAGUGGGGAAUUUUGGACAAUGGGCGAAAGCCUGAUCCAGCAAUGCCGCGUGUGUGAAGAAGGCCUUCGGGUUGUAAAGCACUUUUGUCAGGAAAGAAAUCCUUGGCCCUAAUACGGUCGGGGGAUGACGGUACCGGAAGAAUAAGCACCGGCUAACUACGUG